AGGGGCUUGGUCCAAUGGUAGAACAUCGGUCUCCAAAACCGUUGAUGCGGGUUCGAUUCCUGCAGCCCCUGCCA
rnacentral:tRNA from 4 species